rnacentral:ncRNA from 1 species
AUCCACUAGGGGUGCUUUAUGCUGAGAUAGACUGCGGUCUGAUCCCUUUGAACCUGAUUUAGUUAAGACUAACGUAGGGAAGUGGCA